rnacentral:rRNA from 1 species
GAGUUUGAUCAUGGCUCAGGAUGAACGCUAGCGGCAGGCUUAACACAUGCAAGUCGAGGGGUAGUUACUUUCGGGUAAUGAGACCGGCGCACGGGUGCGUAACGCGUAUGCAAUCUACCUUUUACUGGGGAAUAGCCCAGAGAAAUUUGGAUUAAUGCCCCAUGGUAUUAUAGAGUGGCAUCACUUUAUAAUUAAAGUUCCAACGGUAAAAGAUGAGCAUGCGUCCCAUUAGUUAGUUGGUAAGGUAACGGCUUACCAAGACGAUGAUGGGUAGGGGUCCUGAGAGGGAGAUCCCCCACACUGGUACUGAGACACGGACCAGACUCCUACGGGAGGCAGCAGUGAGGAAUAUUGGACAAUGGGCGCAAGCCUGAUCCAGCCAUGCCGCGUGCAGGAAGAAGCAUCUAUGGUGUGUAAACUGCUUUUAUACAGGAAGAAACACUCCCUCGUGAGGGAGCUUGACGGUACUGUAAGAAUAACGACCGGCUAAUUCCGGGCCAGC